rnacentral:rRNA from 1 species
CCUAACGGGUGGCAGCAGUGGGGAAUAUUGGACAAUGGGCGAAAGCCUGAUCCAGCCAUGCCGCGUGUGUGAAGAAGGCCUUCGGGUUGUAAAGCACUUUCAGUGGGGAAGAAAGCCUUGGGGCUAAUACCCUCGAGGAAGGACAUCACCCACAGAAGAAGCACCGGCUAACUCCGUGCCAGCAGCCGCGGUAAUACGGAGGGUGCGAGCGUUAAUCGGAAUUACUGGGCGUAAAGCGCGCGUAGGCGGUCUGAUAAGCCGGUUGUGAAAGCCCCGGGCUCAACCUGGGAACGGCAUCCGGAACUGUCAGGCUAGAGUGCAGGAGAGGAAGGUAGAAUUCCCGGUGUAGCGGUGAAAUGCGUAGAGAUCGGGAGGAAUACCAGUGGCGAAGGCGGCCUUCUGGACUGACACUGACGCUGAGGUGCGAAAGCGUGGGUAGCAAACAGGAUUAGAUACCCGGGUAGUC